GGAUGCAGCAGAUUCUACGGCUCUUCAGUCUGUGGUGCCCAUGCACGAUUUCUACCUGUUUUCAAAGGUUCUCACCUUUGUGUUGCCCUAAUGAUGUUUGCCUGUGCUUUAAUCUUAUUAAGUGCAGUUUGAGUGUGCUGAUGAGCCCAGACACUCUGCCUAAAUUGGUCACUUGAUUUUUCCCCACCUCUUACACCUGACACUCUCUCUAUCCACCACCACCUGUGAUCAAGCUUCUCUUCCCCCCUUGCCUUAUAGUCCUGAAAACAUUUCUCCUUCCAAAGAUUUUUGGUAUUUCAUCUGCUACUAAACAACAUGCUGCCGGAUAAUUAAAGAGCCACAUUUGGGGUGUUUUCAAGAAUCUCCGUGUGUUCCUGGGAUGGUUCCACAGAACUUCAGAUUACAUCGUCUGUUAUACAUUGUUAAAGGGAAUUGUUGAAAUCAGAGACGUCCAUUGAGCCCAGAAAGAACCAGAGGAGCAACAAUAAUAGCUGGAUGCUAUAAAUGCCUCAGUAUUUGAACUCAUCUUUCAAUCAUUGCACUCACCGUAGGUAGAAUAUUCAGCAAAAGGACGUUUGCCACAGAACCAUCAUCUGUUUCUCACUCUGCAGUGUCUGACAGUGAGUGAGAUCGGCUCACUUUGAUACUGAAUGUGUUGGUUGGAGAUAAUUAAUUCCCAGCCUGUGUGAGUUAAUCAUUGUUUCCCCACUUUUCUCAGCUUUAAUCAGACUCCCAUGAGCCUUCCACUGAGCAUGCUCACAAGAGCAUUCACGUGCCCCUUGUUAUUGCUGUCAAAUCCCGUAUGCGAA
rnacentral:lncRNA from 1 species